rnacentral:tRNA from 1 species
GAGGGUAUAGCUCAGCAGUAGAGCACGUGCUUAGCAUGCACGAGGUCCUGCGUUCAAUCCCCAGCAUCUCCA